rnacentral:rRNA from 1 species
UACGGAGGAUGCGAGCGUUAUCCGGAUUUAUUGGGUUUAAAGGGUGCGCAGGCGGAAGAUUAAGUCGGCGGUGAAAUUUUGCAGCUCAACUGUAAAAGUGCCAUCGAUACUGGUUUUCUUGAGUGUGGAUGGAGUAGGCGGAAUUUGUGGUGUAGCGGUGAAAUGCAUAGAUAUCACGAGGAACUCCGAUUGCGCAGGCAGCUUACUAGGCCAUAACUGACGCUCAGGCACGAAGGCGUGGGGAUCAAACAGGAUUAGA